GUAGGUGAACCUGCGGAAGGAUCAUUAUCGUAGGGCUUCGGCCCUGUCGAGAUAGAACCCUUGCCUUUUUGAGUACCUUUCGUUUCCUCGGUAGGCUCGCCUGCCAAUGGGGACCACAAAAAACACUUUGCAGUACCUGUAAUAGUCUGAACAAACAAACUAAAAUUAAAACUUUCAACAACGGGUCUCUUGGUUCUG
rnacentral:misc_RNA from 1 species